GAUGAAGAACGUAGCGAACUGCGAUAAGUAAUGUGAAUUGCAGAAUUCAGUGAAUCAUCGAGUCUUUGAACGCACAUUGCGCCCCCUGGCAUUCCGGGGGGCAUGCCUGUCCGAGCGUCAUUGCUGCCCUUCAAGCCCGGCUUGUGUGUUGGGUCGUCGUCCCCCCCGGGGGACGGGCCCGAAAGGCAGCGGCGGCACCGCGUCCGGUCCUCGAGCGUAUGGGGCUUUGUCACCCGCUCGAUUAGGGCCGGCCGGGCGCCAGCCGGCGUCUCCAACCUCCUAUUUUACCAGGUUGACCUCGGAUCAGGUAGGGAUACCCGCUGAACUUAAGCAUAUCAAUAAGCGGAGGA
rnacentral:misc_RNA from 1 species